rnacentral:rRNA from 1 species
AGUGAACGCUGGCGGUAGGCCUAACACAUGCAAGUCGAACGGCAGCACAGUAAGAGCUUGCUCUUACGGGUGGCGAGUGGCGGACGGGUGAGGAAUACAUCGGAAUCUACUUUUUCGUGGGGGAUAACGUAGGGAAACUUACGCUAAUACCGCAUACGACCUACGGGUGAAAGCAGGGGAUCUUCGGACCUUGCGCGAUUGAAUGAGCCGAUGUCGGAUUAGCUAGUUGGCGGGGUAAAGGCCCACCAAGGCGACGAUCCGUAGCUGGUCUGAGAGGAUGGUCAGCCACACGGGAACUGAGACACGGUCCAGACUCCUACGGGAGGCAGCAGUGGGGAAUAUUGGACAAUGGGCGCAAGCCUGAUCCAGCCAUACCGCGUGGGUGAAGAAGGCCUUCGGGUUGUAAAGCCCCUUUGUUGGGAAAGAAAAGCAGCAGGUUAAUACCCCGCUGUUCUGACGGUACCCAAAGAAUAAGCACCGGCUAACUUCGUG